rnacentral:rRNA from 1 species
UCCUGGCUCAGGAUGAACGCUGGCGGCGUGCUUAACACAUGCAAGUCGAACGAUGAUCCGGUGCUUGCAUCGGGGAUUAGUGGCGAACGGGUGAGUAACACGUGAGUAACCUGCCCUUAACUCUGGGAUAAGCCUGGGAAACUGGGUCUAAUACCGGAUAUGACUCCUCAUCGCAUGGUGGGGGGUGGAAAGCUUUAUUGUGGUUUUGGAUGGACUCGCGGCCUAUCAGCUUGUUGGUGAGGUAAUGGCUCACCAAGGCGACGACGGGUAGCCGGCCUGAGAGGGUGACCGGCCACACUGGGACUGAGACACGGCCCAGACUCCUACGGGAGGCAGCAGUGGGGAAUAUUGCACAAUGGGCGCAAGCCUGAUGCAGCGACGCCGCGUGAGGGAUGACGGCCUUCGGGUUGUAAACCUCUUUCAGUAGGGAAGAAGCGAAAGUGACGGUACCUGCAGAAGAAGCGCCGGCUAACUACGUGCCAGCAGCCGCGGUAAUACGUAGGGCGCAAGCGUUAUCCGGAAUUAUUGGGCGUAAAGAGCUCGUAGGCGGUUUGUCGCGUCUGCCGUGAAAGUCCGGGGCUCAACUCCGGAUCUGCGGUGGGUACGGGCAGACUAGAGUGAUGUAGGGGAGACUGGAAUUCCUGGUGUAGCGGUGAAAUGCGCAGAUAUCAGGAGGAACACCGAU